GCCAACUUGCUCUAAAUUCAUCAACCAACACAUAAUGGCUGAGAAAAUAAAUAGUUAAACGGUGUAGUCUCACUAAAAGGUAUCUUAAAGCUUUUAUAAUAAUGUUUAUCUGUUUUAAUUCUAUACACAUUUGUCUGUAUCUGUUUGUUUUCUUUCGUUUCCAUUUAGGGUUUGACUUCAAAAAUAAUUAGGCGCCCACGUUAGCCAAUGAUACGGAUCCAGAGAAAUAUAUUAUAUAUCAGAAGUAAUUUAGUAUAUAGAUCUGGAGAUAUGAAAUGAAAUUUAAAAA
rnacentral:lncRNA from 1 species